UGAAGCUUGUACUUCUGGACACUCCAGUAGCUAAUUCGAGUUUUAAUAUCAUUUAUUUUCAACUUGCAUAUGAAUUCAUAUUUUGUUUUUGUUAUUUAUGAUAUUUUUGUUUAAUUUUGUUAUUUCAUUUGGGUCACUGAUUAUUAAAAAAAAUUAAUACAGACUCUUAACAUAUGCAUGCUAUAUAUCCAAUGGACUCUAUAUGGUUCACAUAUUCCCCUCCUCUCUCUGCCUCUCUCUGCAAUUUGGGGUCAGCUUUUAAAUGGUAGAUUGGCAGAAGUUCCAUGAUCACCUGCCUGCUAGACACCAGCCAUCAUUUUAUCCUCGGGCUGCUUGGUAGCGGUGCAGCCUAAACCAUCAGGCGUUGAAGAGGCUAAAGAGAAGGAAUAGAAAAGGGGUUAAGGUAGUGGUGCUGUCUGAACCAUCAGCUUCUGAGGUAGGAGCAUUGAAGAGGCAAAAGAAAAGGGACCAAAAAGGAGAAGGUGCCAACUUGUGGCACCCUUAUUUUCA